rnacentral:rRNA from 1 species
GGCCGCGGGAAUUCGAUUCAGGCCUAACACAUGCAAGUCGAACGCUUUGUCUUUAAUUGAUCUGAAGAGCUUGCUCUGAUUUGAUUUUAUCUGACAAAGAGUGGCGAACGGGUGAGUAACACGUGGGUAACCUACCUCUUAGCAGGGGAUAACAUUUGGAAACAAGUGCUAAUACCGUAUAAUACCAACAACCGCAUGGUUGUUGGUUGAAAGAUGGUUCUGCUAUCACUAAGAGAUGGACCCGCGGUGCAUUAGCUAGUUGGCAAGGUAACGGCUUACCAAGGCAAUGAUGCAUAGCCGAGUUGAGAGACUGAUCGGCCACAAUGGGACUGAGACACGGCCCAUACUCCUACGGGAGGCAGCAGUAGGGAAUCUUCCACAAUGGGCGCAAGCCUGAUGGAGAAGCGCCGCGUGUGUGAUGAAGGGUUUCGGCUCGUAAUAAAAGGGAUAAGAGAAGAACGGCACUGAGAGUAACUGUUCAGUGUGUGACG